UACGAAGGGGGCUAGCGUUGUUCGGAGUUACUGGGCGUAAAGGGCGCGUAGGCGGCGCACCAAGUCAGGCGUGAAAGCCCUGGGCUCAACCCGGGAAUUGCGCUUGAGACUGGUGUGCUUAAGUACGGGAGAGGAUAGUGGAAUUCCCAGUGUAGAGGUGAAAUUCGUAGAUAUUGGGAAGAACACCGGUGGCGAAGGCGGCUAUCUGGACCGUAACUGACGCUGAGGCGCGAAAGCGUGGGGAGCAAACAGG
rnacentral:rRNA from 1 species